rnacentral:rRNA from 1 species
AGUGAACGCUGGCGGUAGGCCUAACACAUGCAAGUCGAACGGCAGCACAGUAAGAGCUUGCUCUUACGGGUGGCGAGUGGCGGACGGGUGAGGAAUACAUCGGAAUCUACUUUUUCGUGGGGGAUAACGUAGGGAAACUUACGCUAAUACCGCAUACGACCUACGGGUGAAAGCAGGGGAUCUUCGGACCUUGCGCGAUUGAAUGAGCCGAUGUCGGAUUAGCUAGUUGGCGGGGUAAAGGCCCACCAAGGCGACGAUCCGUAGCUGGUCUGAGAGGAUGAUCAGCCACACUGGAACUGAGACACGGUCCAGACUCCUACGGGAGGCAGCAGUGGGGAAUAUUGGACAAAGGGCGCAAGCCUGAUCCAGCGAUACCGCGUGGGUGAAGAAGGCCUUCGGGUUGUAAAGCCCUUUUGUUGGGAAAGAAAAGCAGCAGGUUAAUACCCCGCUGUUCUGACGGUACCCAAAGAAUAAGCACCGGCUAACUUCGCG